UAGGGAAUCUUCGGCAAUGGACGAAAGUCUGACCGAGCAACGCCGCGUGAGUGAAGAAGGUUCUCGGAUCGUAAAACUCUGUUGUUAGAGAAGAACAAGGACGUUAGUAACUGAACGUCCCCUGACGGUAUCUAACCAGAAAGCCACGGCUAACUACGUGCCAGCAGCCGCGGUAAUACGUAGGUGGCAAGCGUUGUCCGGAUUUAUUGGGCGUAAAGCGAGCGCAGGCGGUUUCUUAAGUCUGAUGUGAAAGCCCCCGGCUCAACCGGGGAGGGUCAUUGGCAACUGGGAGACUUGAGUGCAGAAGAGGAGAGUGGAAUUCCAUGUGUAGCGGUGAAAUGCGUAGAUAUAUGGAGGAACACCAGUGGCGAAGGCGGCUCUCUGGUCUGUAACUGACGCUUAGGCUCGAAAGCGUGGGGAGCAAACAGG
rnacentral:rRNA from 1 species